AGUGAACGCUGGCGGUAGGCCUAACACAUGCAAGUCGAACGGCAGCACAGUAAGAGCUUGCUCUUACGGGUGGCGAGUGGCGGACGGGUGAGGAAUACAUCGGAAUCUACUUUUUCGUGGGGGAUAACGUAGGGAAACUUACGCUAAUACCGCAUACGACCUACGGGUGAAAGCAGGGGAUCUUCGGACCUUGCGCGAUUGAAUGAGCCGAUGUCGGAUUAGCUAGUUGGCGGGGUAAAGGCCCACCAAGGCGACGAUCCGUAGCUGGUCUGAGAGGAUGAGGAGGAACAAGGGGAAGAAGACGGGGUCAAGAGUCAUAAGGGAGGCAGCAGUGGGGAGUGGAGGACGAAGGGCGCAAGGUUGAAAAAGCUAUACGGGGUGGAUGAAGAAGAGCAUGGGGUUGUACAGCCCUUUUGUUGGGAAAGAAAAGCAGAAGGUUAAGAACCCGCGGUGCAGACGGUACACAAAGAAUAAGGAAGGGCUAAAUUCGUG
rnacentral:rRNA from 1 species